rnacentral:tRNA from 1 species
GAGGGUAUAGCUCAGCACUAGAGCACGUGCUUAGCAUGCACCAGGUCCUGGGUUCAAUUCUCCAGUACCUCCA